CCUACGGGCGGCUGCAGUGAGGAAUAUUGGUCAAUGGGCUUACGCCUGAACCAGCCAAGUCGCGUGAGGGAAGACUGCCCUAUGGGUUGUCAACCUCUUUUGUCAGGGAGCAACGCCGGCUACGUGUAGCCGGACUGAGAGUACCUGAAGAAAAAGCAUCGGCUAACUCAGUGCCAGCAGCCGCGGUAAUACGGAGGAUGCGAGCGUUAUCCGGAUUUAUUGGGUUUAAGGGGUGCGUAAGCGGAAUGCCAAGUCAGCGGUAAAAUCGCGGGGCUCAACCUCGCUCCGCCGUUGAAACUGGCGUUCUUGAGUGGGCGAGAGGUAGGCGGAAUGCUUGGUGUAGCGGGGAAAUGCAUAGAUAUCACGCAGAACUCCGAUUGCGAAGGCAGCAUACCGGCGCCCAACUGACGCUGAAGCACGAAAGCGUGGGUAGCGAACAGGAUUAGAUACCCUAGUAGUC
rnacentral:rRNA from 1 species